AUUGAACGCUGGCGGCAUGCCUUACACAUGCAAGUCGAACGGUAACAGGGAGCUUGCUCCGCUGACGAGUGGCGAACGGGUGAGUAAUGUAUCGGAACGUACCUUUUAGUGGGGGAUAACGUAGCGAAAGUUACGCUAAUACCGCAUAUUCUCUGAGGAGGAAAGCAGGGGACCUUCGGGCCUUGCGCUAAUAGAGCGGCUGAUAUCAGAUUAGCUAGUUGGUGGGGUAAAGGCUCACCAAGGCGACGAUCUGUAGCGGGUCUGAGAGGAUGAUCCGCCACACUGGAACUGAGACACGGUCCAGACUCCUACGGGAGGCAGCAGUGGGGAAUUUUGGACAAUGGAGGCAACCCUGAUCCAGCCAUGCCGCGUGAGUGAAGAAGGCCUUCGGGUUGUAAAGCUCUUUCGGCCGGGAAAAAAUCGCAUGGGCUAAUACCCUGUGUGGAUGAUGGUACCGGGAUAAGAAGCACCGGCUAACUACGUGCCAGCCGCCGCCGUAA
rnacentral:rRNA from 1 species